AACGAACGCUGGCGGCAGGCUUAACACAUGCAAGUCGAGCGCCCCGCAAGGGGAGCGGCAGACGGGUGAGUAACGCGUGGGAACGUACCUUUUGGUUCGGAACAACUCCGGGAAACUGGAGCUAAUACCGGAUAAGCCCUAACGGGGAAAGAUUUAUCGCCGAAAGAUCGGCCCGCGUCUGAUUAGCUAGUUGGUGAGGUAACGGCUCACCAAGGCGACGAUCAGUAGCUGGUCUGAGAGGAUGAUCAGCCACACUGGGACUGAGACACGGCCCAGACUCCUACGGGAGGCAGCAGUGGGGAAUAUUGGACAAUGGGCGCAAGCCUGAUCCAGCCAUGCCGCGUGAGUGAUGAAGGCAUUAGGGUUGUAACGCUCUUUUGUCCGGGAAGAUAAUGACUGUACCGGAAGAAUAAGCCCCGGCUAACUUCGUG
rnacentral:rRNA from 1 species